GUGUCAGCAGCCGCGGUAAUACGUAGGGGGCAAGCGUUGUCCGGAUUUAUUGGGCGUAAAGAGCGUGUAGGCGGCUGGAUAGGUCCGUUGUGAAAACUCGAGGCUCAACCUCGAGACGUCGAUGGAAACCCUCCAGCUAGAGUCCGGAAGAGGAGAGUGGAAUUCCUGGUGUAGCGGUGAAAUGCGCAGAUAUCAGGAAGAACACCCGUGGCGAAGGCGGCUCUCUGGGACGUGACUGACGCUGAGACGCGAAAGCGUGGGGAGCGAACAGGAUUAGAUACCCUGGUAGUCCACGCUGUAAACGAUGGGUGCUAGGUGUGGGCGGUGUCGACUCCGUCCGUGCCGAAGCUAACGCAUUAAGCACCCCGCCUGGGGAGUACGGCCGCAAGGCUAAA
rnacentral:rRNA from 1 species